rnacentral:rRNA from 1 species
GACGAACGCUGGCGGCGUGCUUAACACAUGCAAGUCGAACGAUGAAGCCGGAGCUUGCUCCGGUGGAUUAGUGGCGAACGGGUGAGUAACACGUGAGCAAUCUGCCCUUGACUCUGGGAUAACUGCGGGAAACUGUAGCUAAUACCGGAUACGACACCUUGGGGCAUCCCAGGGUGUGGAAAGAAUUUCGGUCAAGGAUGAGCUCGCGGCCUAUCAGCUAGUUGGUGAGGUAAUGGCUCACCAAGGCGACGACGGGUAGCCGGCCUGAGAGGGUGACCGGCCACACUGGAACUGAGACACGGUCCAGACUCCUACGGGAGGCAGCAGUGGGGAAUAUUGCACAAUGGGCGAAAGCCUGAUGCAGCAACGCCGCGUGAGGGAUGAAGGCCUUCGGGUUGUAAACCUCUUUCAGCAGGGACGAAAUUGACUGUACCUGCAGAAGAAGCCCCGGCUAACUACGUGCCAGCAGCCGCCGUAA